rfam:Picea glauca, whole genome shotgun sequence.
GGGUGUGAUCAUACCGGUGUUAAUGCACUGGAUACCAUCAAAGCUCUGUAGUUAAGCGUGCUUGGGCUAGAGUAGUACUAGGAUGGGUGAGCUCCCGAGAAGUCCUAGUGUUGCACCCU